CUGGGGUGCUGCGUACCCGCGGCUGAGAGCGGAUAAGGGAAAAUAUCCGAAACCCAUAACCUGAUCUGGAUAAUGCCAGCGUAGGAAGUUUAAAA
rnacentral:ncRNA from 1 species